rnacentral:lncRNA from 1 species
CCAUCCCGUUAAAAUACCCCAGACUGCUGAACUGAAGUCUCCUCUUGCCCUUCUGAAAGACUAAAUCAAAGAGGAGCCACAGCCAUCCUCCAGCGCAGUUACCUGAAGGUGCAUGGAGCCAAAUUUCAGGUUCCAGCAGCAACAUCUUGCUGUGCCUUGUCUUUUAGGAUCUCAGCCUUCCUCUGACCGAUUUCCUCUUAGUCCCAGCUCCUCGCUGACAAGGGAACCCUGACAACAUUUUGACUCCAGCCCAUCCAUCUCGCUCGCUCUUUUCGUCUCCGCAGUGGUGUAAAAACCCACGGGCAGCUGCUGCAGCCUUCCCCAUGGCCUCGUCCCUGCUGGCUGCUGGGGAAGGUCUGGCCGAUGGGACCUCCUCUGCUGGGACCUUGCUACAGGAGGGCUGGGGUUACUGCCUCUGCUUCUGGGGGACGAGGCUGUAACCUGGGACAAGUCGUGUUCCCGCUGCAUCGUCACUAACCGAAAUGGCUCACUCAGCACAGCCAGCUGCCCCAGUAACCCCACCGCCGCCUGUGCUGCGGCUGGAAAGGACACGGGGAUGUCUGUGGGGUGACCACGGAGCCUCUCCUGCACGCCUGGUGCCAGUUCAGCUGCCAUCUGGGGAGGAGAGCUGCAAGACGUGUGACCCUGAAGAGAACAAGCAGAGUAAUUGCUUCAGGAAUCCUGGUUAGGAGAUGAUGGAGAGGGAAUAACCCCGUCGCUGUGUCUCACACCAACUGCUGUAAUAAUUCUGCUUCUCCUGCAAAGCUGCAUUACAUCGUCACUUAAUUUAACUUUGCCCAGAAGCAGCCACAGUGAAAGCAGCCUGGGUCCCCGAGCUUGUUCCUCCCCAGAGAUGUAAAACAUCUCCCAUUUACAUACCUCUUACCCCGGGAGCUUGUAUUUACAGUCACAAACCGCUAUUUAUCCGGCACGCCAAUUGCCGUCACCCCAGAGCACCUAAAUCUCACAAAAAGCAUUUUUAUUGCCCUAUUAAUCUCUCCCUCUCCCGUUGUUUAAUAGAAUUCACUUAAAAAUAUUUAACAGCCUAAGCCCCCCACGGCUGAGUGCCAUUCCUCUGGCUGCCUUGAGGUACUGCUCCGUCUGUUGCCUGUGUGCUGGGGACACCAGGAGCGGGGUGCUUUUAGGGGAAAUUUCCCAUGCACCAGAUGCGCCUCCCUAAUUUCAACACAGCCCAUCACAG